AGAUUGAACGCUGGCGGCAUGCCUAACACAUGCAAGUCGAGCGGGAGUAGCAAUACUCUAGUGGCGGACGGGUGAGGAAUACGUAGGAAUUUGCCCUUAAGUGGGGGAUAACCCGGGGAAACCCGGAUUAAUACCGCAUGACCUCGAAAGAGCAAAGUGGGGGAUCGCAAGACCUCACGCUUUUGGAGAAGCCUACGUCGGAUUAGCUAGUUGGUGAGGUAAUGGCUCACCAAGGCGACGAUCCGUAACUGGUCUGAGAGGAUGAUCAGUCACACCGGAACUGAGACACGGUCCGGACUCCUACGGGAGGCAGCAGUGGGGAAUAGUUGGACAAGUGGGCGCAAGCCUGAUCCAGCAAUGCCGCGUGUGUGAAGAAGGCCUUGGGUGUAAGCUACUUAAGUGGAAGAAAAACUCGACGUACAAC
rnacentral:rRNA from 1 species